UUGGAGGGCAAGUCUGGUGCCAGCAGCCGCGGUAAUUCCAGCUCCAAUAGCGUAUAUUAAAGUUGUUGCAGUUAGAAAGCUCGUAGUUGAACUUCGGGAUCAAGGGAUCGGUCAUGCCUUGGUAUGUACUGGUCUUAUUGGUUCUCACCUCCUAAAGAACCAUAAUGUCAUUCAUUUGAUGUUAUGGGGAAUUAGGACUGUUACCUUGAAAAAUUAGAGUGUUUAAAGCAGGCUUACGCUUGAAUACAUUAGCAUGGAAUAAUGAAAUAGGACAUCCGAUUCUAUUUUGUUGGUUUCUAGGAUCGAUGUAAUGAUUAAUAGGGAUAGUUGGGGGCAUUAGUAUUCAAUUGUCAGAGGUGAAAUUCUUGGAUUUAUUGAAGACUAAUACUGCGAAAGCAUUUGCCAAGGAUGUUUUCAUUAAUCAAGAACGAAAGUUAGGGGAUCGAAGACGAUCAGAUACCGUCGUAGUCUUAACCAUAGACUAAUGCCGACUAGGGAUCGGAUGAUGUAAUUUUUAA
rnacentral:rRNA from 1 species